rnacentral:lncRNA from 1 species
UGGGGACCUGACCGCACGGGGAGCCCAGAGCGUCUCGCGCCGUUGAGCACAGUCGCUGGCACGCACCCAAAGGGAUGUCAUCACGACCAAGCGGCCCCGGCAGAGCCUGGGCCACCACUGCCACCGUGCCCCACUUCAAGCCUUGACUCCGAGGUCAAAUGUCCCGAACUCGGAGGGCACAAGGAGCCCUCCCGCUGCCAUAAGGAGACGCGGUCCCCUCAGAUCCCACGGCCCCUCCCCUGGGAUGGGUACGCACCCCCGGAUCCCGCGUAGAGACUCGAGGAAAGCUAGGUGGCGGGGGUCGCGGGGCUCUGCGUAUCCCCCCUCAACCAGCGUCGCAGACAAGGGGAGACUCAGCAGUCUGUCAACUCUGGAGCCCCCCCGCAGCCCCACGCGGUAUUUAAAGGGCCCAGAGUUUACCAGGUAGGAUGAAAUGGACUAACUCCAACCGAACGGACAGACUUCUGGUGUCCGCUCGCGGCAGUAAUAUAAAAACACUACAUGCCCACCUUCACAAUGGCCACACACACCGGGCCAAGCGAGUCAACAACAUUCCAAACAGGCUGUCCCACGCACAUCAGCGUCCAACCGCGUCAUCCACACGUGUCAACAUGUUCUUGUAAACACGGGUCCUGAUUUGCCCCUUGAAUUGGACGAUUGGUUUCUGGGAGCCACACCUACCUAAGCUCUCCGAAGGCUUCGCCUGUGCACAAAGAUAAAGUGUCUUACUUCUUCUAAGGGUUCUUUGGCGGCGCUUAUCUUGGGGAGAGUUUUCAACCAGGCUUAAUGUAAAUAAGUGCUGGGAGGGGCUCUUGUGUGGUCAGGCUUACUAAGCAUAACUUCUCGUGAGCUUGCUUCUGGGCAUAAAGAAACAGAACCACUAUUUUGCCAGGUACAAGUUGGUAUUACUUGUGGGUAGCGUCAUACAAAAAAAAUAAAUGAACUUUAUAUAAGCUGAAAUAUUCCUGU